rnacentral:rRNA from 1 species
UGAUGGCGUGCCUUUUGUAGAAUGAACCGGCGAGUUACGAUUUGAUGCAAGGUUAAGCAGUAAAUGUGGAGCCGUAGCGAAAGCGAGUCUGAAUAGGGCGUUUAGUAUUUGGUCGUAGACCCGAAACCAGGUGAUCUACCCUUGGUCAGGUUGAAGUUCAGGUAACACUGAAUGGAGGACCGAACCGACUUACGUUGAAAAGUGAGCGGAUGAACUGAGGGUAGCGGAGAAAUUCCAAUCGAACCUGGAGAUAGCUGGUUCUCUCCGAAAUAGCUUUAGGGCUAGCCUCAAGUGAUGAUUAUUGGAGGUAGAGCACUGUUUGGACGAGGGGCCCCUCUCGGGUUACCGAAUUCAGACAAACUCCGAAUGCCAAUUAAUUUAACUUGGGAGUC